AAAUCUGGCCCCUAGGGUCCGAGUUGUAAUUUGUAGAGGAUGCUUUUGGUGAGGUGCCGCCCGAGUUCCCUGGAACGGGACGCCGCAGAGGGUGAGAGCCCCGUCUGGCUGGCCACCGAGCCUCUGUAAAGCUCCUUCGACGAGUCGAGUAGUUUGGGAAUGCUGCUCAAAAUGGGAGGUAUAUGUCUUCUAAAGCUAAAUAUUGGCCAGAGACCGAUAGCGCACAAGUAGAGUGAUCGAAAGAUGAAAAGCACCUUGAAAAGAGGGUUAAACAGUACGUGAAAUUGUUGAAAGGGAAGCGCUUGUGACCAGACUUGGGCGCGGCGAAUCAUCCGGGGUUCUCUCCGGUGCACUUCGCCGUGUUCAGGCCAGCAUCAGUUCGGCGCGGGGGAAAAAGGCUUCGGGAACGUGGCUGCUCCGGCAGUGUUAUAGCCCGUUGCAUAAUACCCUGCGCUGGACUGAGGACCGCGCAUCUGCAAGGAUGCUGGCGUAAUGGUCACCAGCGACCCGUCUUGAAACACGGACCAAGGAG
rnacentral:rRNA from 1 species